GACGAACGCUGGCGGCGUGCCUAAUACAUGCAAGUAGAACGCUGAAGAGAGGAGCUUGCUCUUCUUGGAUGAGUUGCGAACGGGUGAGUAACGCGUAGGUAACCUGCCUGGUAGCGGGGGAUAACUAUUGGAAACGAUAGCUAAUACCGCAUAAUAUUAAUUAUUGCAUGAUAAUUAAUUGAAAGAUGCAACUGCAUCACUACCAGAUGGACCUGCGUUGUAUUAGCUAGUUGGUGAGGUAACGGCUCACCAAGGCGACGAUACAUAGCCGACCUGAGAGGGUGAUCGGCCACACUGGGACUGAGACACGGCCCAGACUCUUACGGGAGGCAGCAGUAGGGAAUCUUCGGCAAUGGGGGGAACCCUGACCGAGCAACGCCGCGUGAGUGAAGAAGGUUUUCGGAUCGUAAAGCUCUGUUGUAAGAGAAGAACGGGUGUGAGAGUGGAAAGUUCACACUGUGACGGUAUCUUACCAGAAAGGGACGGCUAACUACGUGCCAGCAGCCGCGGUAAUACGUAGGUCCCGAGCGUUGUCCGGAUUUAUUGGGCGUAAAGCGAGCGCAGGCGGUUAGAUAAGUCUGAAGUUAAAGGCUGUGGCUUAACCAUAGUAUGCUUUGGAAACUGUUUAACUUGAGUGCAGAAGGGGAGAGUGGAAUUCCAUGUGUAGCGGUGAAAUGCGUAGAUAUAUGGAGGAACACCGGUGGCGAAAGCGGCUCUCUGGUCUGUAACUGACGCUGAGGCUCGAAAGCGUGGGGAGCAAACAGG
rnacentral:rRNA from 1 species